rnacentral:rRNA from 1 species
UACGGGGGGGAGCAAGCGUUGUUCGGAUUUACUGGGCGUAAAGGGCGCGUAGGCGGCGCAACAAGUCACUUGUGAAAUCUCCGGGCUUAACCCGGAGCGGUCAAGUGAUACUGUCGUGCUAGAGUGCGGAAGGGGCUACUGGAAUUCUCGGUGUAGCGGUGAAAUGCGUAGAUAUCGAGAGGAACACCAGUGGCGAAGGCGAGUCUCUGGACGACUCCUGACAGCUGAGGACACGA